rnacentral:lncRNA from 1 species
GCAUGUGGGUAUUGUUCACUAUAUAGUUUACAAUAAACUUAGUGAACCAUAAGGAUAGGGACACAAAGGUGAAGUCCUUGCCUAGUUUCCGUCUCAUUAAGUGGUUUAUCACUUCAACACUUAAUGAUUCAAAAUCAUUAUAAGUCCAUGUUAAUGGACUAUUUUUGUCAACCAACCAUUAUGUUCUAAACAUAAUUACAAACCUUCAAGAGUUUGUACAAGGCAACUCUCAUUUCUUCAUACAACAAUUUGUAAGUGAAGAAUCAUGGCACAUAAAAUGUCCAUGCCUUUGUGCUUUCUUCUCAAGUUCUUUGUUCAUUUAACAAAGAAACAAGCACUAGUGUUUGCAUUGACUAAGGGUUGUUCAGGCAACUAUUAUUUCUUCAUACAACGAUUUGUAAGUGAAGAACUAAUAACACUAAAAGUGUCCUUGUCAUUAUGCUAAUCUUCGUAAGUUCCUUUGUUCAUUUAACAAAGGAUUAAGCAUUGGUUGUUUGUGUUGUCCUCUUCAUGAUAGACCUUUCUAACAUGUUCUUCCAAUGAUACAUUAUCAUUAGGAAGAUUGUGAGGAUGAGACUCCUUAGGUACAUAUACAAUCCAUUUAAGACAAUCUUUGGGAUUGUGUUACCAAGUCCGGAAACUAAAGCUUUCGGCUUUUAUUUGUCAAGUGUUGGAUAGCGUUUGCAAAUAUAUU